GCGGGUGUAGCUCAGUGGUAGAGCGCUAGCUUCCCAAGCUGGAUGCCGAGGGUUCGACCCCCUUCACCCGCUCCA
rnacentral:tRNA from 1 species